AGUUGCUGGUUAUCAUUUGAAAGUGGAGCUUUGUAUGAAUUUAUUGGACCCGUAGUUGGAAUUGUUUUGGUCAAUAUCAUAAUUGUGUUCAGUCUCGUUGUGACUCUAUGUUCAACAAUUUCCUCAGAAGGAAAUCUGAAGAAAAGGACAAUACCCCGAAUAAAGUCCAUCUGUACCCUGUUACCUGUUCUGGGUGUCACGUGGUUAUUUGGUCUCUUGUCUAUUAAUGAGGAUGUGGUCGUUUUUCAGUAUAUCUUCUCCCUGUUGAACUCCUUUCAGGGACUUUUUAUUUUCAUCUCCAAAUGUCUUCUGAAUAAAAAGAU